CGGACUGCAGGCUGCAACUCGCCUGCACGAAGUGGAAUUGCUAGUAAUCGUGGAUCAGCAUGCCACGGUGAAUACGUUCCCGGGUCUUGUACACACCGCCCGUCACACCAUGGGAGCCGGUAAUACCCGAAGUCAGUAGUCUAACCGCAAGGAGGACGCUGCCGAAGGUAGGAUUGGCGACUGGGGUGAAGUCGUAACAAGGUAAC
rnacentral:rRNA from 1 species